CACUUUGUGAUCAUUUUGAUCACGAAAACUCAGUGGAAGCAUGGCUGGAACUGAAAGAACGUGCAUACGAUGUGCAACUAAAAUUCGAAAGAGACCUGGAAAAUCCGGAGGCUACACUUCAGUUGGCAUUCAAUGCAAGCUCAUUGGACAGGAUAUAACAGUCGGUGAUGCUCUAAAGGUGGAACGUGGAGAUGGUGAAAACACAGUUGCAUCUGGCUAUGUGUGCCAGAAGUGCCGCUACCGCCUGGGCAAAAUGAUGUCCGAAUCACAAAUGCUACCAACAGCAUCAGGUACUGCGUCUCCACUGAAAACGAUUAGCCAAAGAAGAAGUGGAAGCAUGGUUGGAAAUGGAACUAGAAGAACGUGCGUACGAUGUGCUACUCAAAUUCGAAAGAGACCUGAAAAAUCCGGAGGAUAUUCUUCAUAUAGCAUUCAUUGCAAGCUCAUUGGACAGGAUAUAACAGUCGGUGAUGCUCUAAAGGUGGAACGUGGAGAUGGUGAAAACACAGUUGCAUCUGGCCAUGUGUGCACCAAGUGCCGCUACCGCCUGAGCAAAAUGAUGUCCGAAUCACAAAUGCUACCAACAGCAUCAGUUGCGCACUCCCUGGACGUUAUUCCUCACGUACGCUGUGGCUUCACUCCCAAAAAGCGGCAAUUGUACAACAGAACAACAAAGGGAACAACAACUUCAAAAAAGUUGAAAAAUUACAAAGCAAUGGCUGGCAAGAUGUUGAGCAAGUCCAACUAUGCUCAGAUGUUGACACUCCUAUGGAAAUCCAGCCAGGCCUUCCACACAGCCUUGCAGGAAUUUGUCAGGAAGCAGGUGUACAAGGAAGCCAGACAAUUUCGUACGAAGCCAUGUAAACUGAGGCAAAAUUUGAGCGUGUCCAGCAUCAUGGAUUUUGACUGGACAACCACCUUACAGGAAAUAAAAGCUGGCAUGCCAUUUAUACACAGAAUUUUCUGUGGCAUGCUUGAAACUAGAAAGCUCAGCAAAAGAAAGAUAACCCGUGUUCCCCCGACUAAACAGAGGAUUGGGGCGUCGAUUGCGGUGAUGCUGGCCAAUAGGCAACCUAGAACCUACAAACUGCUGCAGUCAUGGGUUGGGGUCGAGCUGUGGAGGAGUGGCUGCAGGCAAAAGGGUUUCUCGUGUUUGCGUGAACUUGGAAUGUCGCAAAGUGCUAAAGCAACACGAGCAUGUGUGGACCGGGUUGGAAGCGAAUUUGAUGCAGAACCGUGCAACUGGAAAAGAGACAUCGAGGUGGGGCAUCAAUCGUCAACCGAUGAUGUGGAUGUGCAACCACUUCGCUUUACAUCUGAUGAGGACGAGGAUGAUGUAAAUGUCGCACGGAGGGAACCGCUAACCUUAGAUGUCUCGCAGUGACACAGACAUAUUGUUCUUGGAGAGGACUAGUCUUGCCAUGAUACAUAGAGAUGAUCAAGUUUUCGGAUGAAUGCGAGUUGUUCUGCCAGGCUGCUUCUCCCAAACGAUAUAGCAGGUCUUCAUAUACUGUGGCGACUUGAUUAAUUGUUCUGCAACACAAUUGUGAUUGUAACUAACAAAUAAAUGAACAGUUGUUGGCAUUUAAAGUUAUUUAGUUAUUCACAGAGAAAUUUCCUGCUAAAAUACCUGCAAAACCAACGAAUUACGUUGUAAGAUAUGUAGAAAAAAAUCCAUUGCUGUAUGGGAAAUUGGAUAUAUUAUAGAAAUAUACUAAAUUGUAUUAUAUUAUAUAUGUAUCAUAUAAGUAUAUAAGUAUGUAUAUGCAUUAUAUAUCCCUGUAUAAUAAUUAGCAUUUUCUAUGCUACAGCUUUGCUUGCCUCUUUUGGUGUCCUGGUUAAUUUCAUUCAGAGGCAGUAUUACUGCCGCUGACACCCAUUUGCUUGAGCAGCUCAACUUGAUUAAACAUCAAGGAGCGUAGGGGGCUCACAACCAGGGUCCAG